rnacentral:rRNA from 1 species
UCAUUAACGAGUUCUGACAUGGGUUGUAGCUGGCCUCACGAGGCAUGUGCACGCCCUGCUCAUCCACUCUACACCUGUGCACUUACUGUAGGUUUGGCGUGGGCUUCGAGGGCCUUCACGGGCUUUUGAGGCAUUCUGCCUGCCUAUGUAUCACUACAAACACUAUAAAGUAACAGAAUGUAAUCGCGUCUAACGCAUCUUAAUACAACUUUCAGCAACGGAUCUCUUGGCUCUCGCAUCGAUGAAGAACGCAGCGAAAUGCGAUAAGUAAUGUGAAUUGCAGAAUUCAGUGAAUCAUCGAAUCUUUGAACGCACCUUGCGCUCCUUGGUAUUCCGAGGAGCAUGCCUGUUUGAGUGUCAUGGUAUUCUCAACCCACACAUCCUUGUGAUGCUUGUGAGGCUUGGACUUGGAGGCUUGCUGGCCCGUCGCGGUCGGCUCCUCUUGAAUGCAUUAGCUUGGUUCCUUGCGGAUCGGCUCUCAGUGUGAUAAUUGUCUACGCUGUGACCGUGAAGCGUUUGGCGAGCUUCUAACCGUCCUGCUAGGGACAACUUACUUGACAUCUGACCUCAAAUCAGGUAGGACUACCCGCUGAACUUAAGCAUAUCAAUAAGCGGAGGAAAAGAAACUAACAAGGAUUCCCCUAGUAACUGCGAGUGAAGCGGGAAAAGCUCAAAUUUAAAAUCUGGCGGUCUUUGGCCGUCCGAGUUGUAGUCUGGAGAAGCGUCUUCCGCGCUGGACCGUGUAUAAGUCUCUUGGAACAGAGCGUCAUAGAGGGUGAGAAUCCCGUCUUUGACACGGACUACCAGUGCUUUGUGAUGCGCUCUCAAAGAGUCGAGUUGUUUGGGAAUGCAGCUCAAAAUGGGUGGUGAAUUCCAUCUAAAGCUAAAUAUUGGCGAGAGACCGAUAGCGAACAAGUACCGUGAGGGAAAGAUGAAAAGCACUUUGGAAAGAGAGUUAAACAGUACGUGAAAUUGCUGAAAGGGAAACGCUUGAAGUCAGUCGCGUUGUCCGGGACUCAGCCUUGCUUCGGCUUGGUGCACUUUCCGGAUGACGGGCCAGCAUCGAUUUUGACCGCUGGAAAAGGGCUGGAGGAAUGUGGCACCUUCGGGUGUGUUAUAGCCUUCAGUCGCAUACGGCGGUUGGGAUCGAGGAACGCAGCACGCCUUUUGGCGGGGGGUUUACCCUACCUUC